rnacentral:tRNA from 1 species
GGGGUUGUGGCUCAGUGGUAGAGCGCUUGCCUAGCAUGUGUGAGGCCCUGGGUUCAAACCUCAGCACCA